rnacentral:rRNA from 1 species
UUGAACGCUGGCGGCAUGCCUUACACAUGCAAGUCGAACGGCAGCACGGGAGCAAUCCUGGUGGCGAGUGGCGAACGGGUGAGUAAUGUAUCGGAACGUGCCCAGUCGUGGGGGAUAACGCAGCGAAAGUUGUGCUAAUACCGCAUACGAUCUAUGGAUGAAAGCGGGGGAUCGCAAGACCUCGCGCGAUUGGAGCGGCCGAUAUCAGAUUAGGUAGUUGGUGGGGUAAGAGCCUACCAAGCCGACGAUCUGUAGCUGGUCUGAGAGGACGACCAGCCACACUGGAACUGAGACACGGUCCAGACUCCUACGGGAGGCAGCAGUGGGGAAUUUUGGACAAUGGGCGCAAGCCUGAUCCAGCAAUGCCGCGUGCAGGAUGAAGGCCUUCGGGUUGUAAACUGCUUUUGUACGGAACGAAAAGGCUCUGGUUAAUACCUGGGGCACAUGACGGUACCGUAAGAAUAAGCACCGGCUAACUACGU